rnacentral:rRNA from 1 species
AUACGGAGGGUGCGAGCGUUGUUCGGAAUUAUUGGGCGUAAAGCGCGUGUAGGCGGUUUGUUAAGUCUGAUGUGAAAGCCCCGGGCUCAACCUGGGAAGUGCAUUGGAUACUGGCAGACUUGAAUACGGGAGAGGGCAGUGGAAUUCCUGGUGUAGGAGUGAAAUCCGUAGAUAUCCGGAGGAACACCGGUGGCGAAGGCGGCCACCUGGACAGGUACUGACGCUGAGGCGCGAAAGCGUGGGGAGC